CGGACGGGUGAGUAAUGUCUGGGAAACUGCCUGAUGUAGGGGUAUAACUACUGGAAACGGUAGCUAAUACCGCAUAACGUCGCAAGACCAAAGAGGGGGACCUUCGGGCCUCUUGCCAUCGGAUGUGCCCAGAUGGGAUUAGCUAGUAGGUGGGGUAACGGCUCACCUAGGCGACGAUCCCUAGCUGGUCUGAGAGGAUGACCAGCCACACUGGAACUGAGACACGGUCCAG
rnacentral:rRNA from 1 species